AGAAAUAAUACAAGUGGUAGGAGGAAAGAAUUAGGAAUAUCUUAUUAUAAGGUACAUGCACUAGACAUGAAAUGAUAUAGUGUUAUUUGAAAGAGGAAGUGAAUUGCUUGUAAAUGUAGAU